GGCCAUUCUUCCUGACAACACAAGAUUUCACCAACGAGACAACUGAGACCUGCAACAGUCCCACUCUGUCUUUAUGGAUACGUGAAGGAGCGUUUCAUUGAAGCAGACUCAGGUGAAAGGAUGUUUAGCAAGCAUGCGAAAGGACAAGUGAUGAAGAAUUCUUCCCUAAAAGCAAGCAUGAAUUGGUUCACCUUACACCUCAUUGCUGAGCUCCGUCUGUCAUGAUUCCACAGAAAGAAACUUUUGGUGGUGCUCUGGUAACUUCUUCCUCAGACCUGGGCCAAUUGGCAGAGCAAUGUCAGCUGAUACAGACUCACAUGGAUAAGACACACUCAGUGGACUGAACUGGACUGCUGGUAUAGUCAUGAAGUGUUUUCAAGCGGAUCAAGCUGCUGUUGCCGAAUCCUGUGAACUGAACUGCUGAUUUCCUGACAGUGCAGAUGGGAUUUGCCCCAAAGAACAAUUUCUAAACAGGCCCAUUUCCCCUGCAUCCUAAUAACCUUUCUUUUUUGCUACCUCUGGUGGUUGGUGGGCUGGAAGGGAAGUUGAAGCAUUUAAGAACCCAUAUUAGGGGCUGGAGA
rnacentral:sRNA from 1 species